AGAGCGAACGCUGGCGGCAGGCCUAACACAUGCAAGUCGAGCGCCCCGCAAGGGGAGCGGCAGACGGGAGAGUAACACGUGGGAACGUACCCUUUGGUUCGGAACAACACAGGGAAACUUGUGCUAAUACCGGAUAAGCCCUUACGGGGAAAGAUUUAUCGCCAAAGGAUCGGCCCGCGUCUGAUUAGCUUGUUGGUGAGGUAACGGCUCACCAAGGCUACGAUCAGUAGCUGGUCUGAGAGGAUGAUCAGCCUCACUGGGACUGAGACACGGCCCAGACUCCUACGGGAGGCAGCAGUGGGGAAUAUUGGACAAUGGGCGCAAGCCUGAUCCAGCCAUGCCGCGUGGAUGAUGAAGGCCCUAGGGUUGUAAAGUCCUUUCGACGGGAAGAUAAUGACGGUACCCGUAGAAGAAGCCCGGCUAACUUCGUGCCAGCAGCCGC
rnacentral:rRNA from 1 species